CCCUGCAUUCGAAAGUGAUGUGGGCUGCCUGUGCCCUGGUCAUUGAUUGUGCAGGGAGAGGAAGUGCUGAAAGGCUUUCUCCGUGUUUGGAGGGCCCAUCCUGUCCCUUCCAAACCCUGGAGCUUUCCCACA
ensembl:snoRNA SNORA71 Small nucleolar RNA SNORA71